rnacentral:rRNA from 1 species
UACGUAGGUGGCAAGCGUUGUCCGGAAUUAUUGGGCGUAAAGCGCGCGCAGGCGGUCCUUUAAGUCUGAUGUGAAAGCCCACGGCUCAACCGUGGAGGGUCAUUGGAAACUGGGGGACUUGAGUACAGAAGAGAAGAGUGGAAUUCCACGUGUAGCGGUGAAAUGCGUAGAGAUGUGGAGGAACACCAGUGGCGAAGGCGACUCUUUGGUCUGUAACUGACACUGAGGCGCGAAAGCGUGGGGAGCAAACAGG